ACAACACUGGAGAAGAAUGGUUCUGCGUGGACUCGAACAUCGGUUCCGAAACAAUAAAUUGAGUUGGUUCGGACUGGUGUUAGAGACGAUGCAUAAUCAAAUAUCAUCCUGGAUGCAC
rnacentral:precursor_RNA from 12 species